GUCUACCGCCAUACCACCCUGAACAAGCCCGAUCCCGUCUGAUCUCGGAAGCUAAGCAGGAUUGGGCCUGGUUAGUACUUGGAUAGGAGACCACAUAGGAAGACCAGGUGCUGUAGGCG
rnacentral:rRNA from 1 species